UUCCCAACUGAAGAAGCAUGAGUACUGAUAGCAGAAAUUGAAAACUUUGACCGAGGAAUGUAUGCUGGUCCCGUUGGGUGGUUUGGAGGAGGAGAGAGUGAGUUUGCGGUUGGCAUAAGGAGUCUUUUCAGCUCAGGGUGGUCAGUGGUCCAAAGUCUACAAACAUAGUUGCGCACUUUUAACCAAAUGGUUGAUCAACUGUUGUUGAGGUUGAGGACAUUCCAAGUUGGCCAUUCGGGUUCCAGACUUAAAAAAUAAAUCCUUGCAUUGAUGUUAAACAACCUCACCAGCCAUAUGUUAUAAGAAUAAGUUCUUGCUAAAUAGGCAGGCACCAUCCGAUUAAAAGAUCCGCACAAAUGGAGUGAUUGCAGGUUGUAGCGCUAUUCGCUGCAGUUUGCACCAUUUAUCUCGGAAUUCUUCAUUUUAAGGCGGUUGAUUUGGGAUUUAUAUAAGGCAAAGGGUGCAUCUGGGAUCAUCUUUCCAAUUAUCAAGUCGGAAGGAGUUCGACAAAUGUACUUCCCAGCAAGGGUGGAGCAUACUACAAAGCUCCUCAAGUUGCUUAACCAUCAAUCAUAUCUUGAGUUUUGAAUGUUGGAGGUCCUAAUCUUCAUUUAGGGAGGUUGUGAUUAUUGUUUGGUUUUUUGGAUUUAGGUAUAUGCAAUGCCUAAAGAAGGUGAAUUGUUAGGGUGGUAGCUUGUGAGCGUGAUCAACGGGGUCUUGUAUUUGCUGGGGAUGUGAAUGUUUCCCCUCAUUACUUGACAACAGAAGUCAGUCCAAACAAAUGUUGUUGCCAUCUUCAUAUGUGAAUCAUUAUUUUCCUAACAAUCUUCCAAAUCAGCCAAUGACCGUUUGAUUUGUGCAAGUGAGGUUCAUUAGUGGAGUGUCAGAAUGAAGAAAAAAAGGGAGCUUUUACUACUUCAGCGAAGGAGUGAAGGAUGGACAUAUGUUUCACAAGAUAUGUUUUUAAUCAGUGGAGUGUUGGAAUGAAGAAAAAAGAGAGUUUUUUACUAACUAUAAACAAAUACACCGACUCCAGUUGUUCCGUUAUGCGCCUUUAUAGUUUUGAGAGAUCUAAUGGAAUUGUGCAGUUAUUCUUUUAGAUCUUUUUUAGUUUUUAGAUUUUUUUUAUUUUUAGAAUUCUUUUAGAAUUUUUAGAUCUUUAGAAUUUUUUUUAUGUUUUUAGAUUUUUUGAAUUUUUUUGAUUGUACAUUUGAUCAAAAUAUAUUUAUUCCUUAUUAGAUUAGUUAAUAAUUAUUUGAUGGACAUACUUAUCCUUAUUAUCUAAUCAAGGGUUUCCAUUUGGAU
rnacentral:lncRNA from 1 species